ACACGUGUCGGUCUUUCUGUGCGGAGCUGGGAGGGAGGGAGUCGCACUGUGGGAGCUGGAACAGCAGCGUUGGGGGAAUGGCGCCUCCCUGCCUGUGGGGCCUCAGGUCGGUGAGAAGCUGUUGGACCCCCGGUUCCGGUAGGUUCUAUAUUCACUUUCGGGUUCCGUUGCCCCUAGAGGCGUUGCAGGUUGCGCUGUACGUGUGGCACUUGCGUCAUUAGGCGGCAGAGACAAACCCACGGCUGAGUCUACGCUCGGGGCCCUGACUGUGGGCAGUCUGAAUGGUUUCCAGCCGAACACUACUUAUCCCUAUUCCCCGGCUUCUAUAGGGGCUUGCUGAGCAUGCUGGGAACUGUGUGUGGGGGGGGGGGUUAUUUAUGCUGGAAAUGCAUGGCAGCUGUUAGCAUUGGGUCCCUGGCUGUAGUUGGAAAAUAUAUAUAUAAUAUUAUAUAUACUCCCUGUAUUCUUCAACCUAUAAUAUAUCUGAGAAUGAGGUUCAGUACUAGUUAGCAGGGUACUAGUUACUAGUUAACACCCCUCCCCAACACCCCCGGUUGUGGGCCAUGCCAGCUGUAUACAAUAGUGGCCCCAACAGGCUCCCAUAGCUCUAACCUGUACGGUUACUAUUGGCUAUGCCCUUCCCUGACCAGUAGAGGGAGCUCCUGUAUAAUCCCUAACAGGCUUCAGGCCCAUCUGGGACCUUUCUUGCUACAGUCGUCUGUGUUUAAAUGAAAGUAAUUAAAUAAUAUAUUACCCAUAAUCCCUUCCUGUAUCCUAAAAAGGGACCUUUAAUGGCUCUGGGUCUUGUUAAUGGUCUUCUGAGGGUCUCGCUGCCCAUCUUAAUGAUUUCCAUUCUCUGCCUUUA